rnacentral:rRNA from 1 species
UGAACGCUGGCGGCGUGCUUAACACAUGCAAGUCGAACGAAGCAUUUAAGACAGAUUUCUUCGGAAUGAAGGUUUUUUAUGACUGGAGUGGCGGACGGGUGAGUAACGCGUGGGUAACCUGCCUCACACAGGGGGAUAGCAGUUGGAAACGACUGGUAAUACCGCAUAAGCGCACAGCUUCGCAUGAAGCGGUGUGAAAAACUCCGGUGGUGUGAGAUGGACCCGCGUCUGAUUAGGUAGUUGGUGAGGUAACGGCCCACCAAGCCGACGAUCAGUAGCCGACCUGAGAGGGUGACCGGCCACAUUGGGACUGAGACACGGCCCAGACUCCUACGGGAGGCAGCAGUGGGGAAUAUUGCACAAUGGAGGGAAACUCUGAUGCAGCGACGCCGCGUGAGUGAAGAAGUAUUUCGGUAUGUAAAGCUCUAUCAGCAGGGAAGACAGUGACGGUACCUGACUAAGAAGCUCCGGCUAAAUACGUG